CAGCCACAUCAUGUUGAAACAUUGGUUCCUGUAUGAUUACUAAAGUUAAGCAACAUUGAGCCUGGUUGGUACCUAGAUGGGUGACUGCUUGGGAAUACCAGGUUCUGU